GAUGAACGCUGACAGAAUGCUUAACACAUGCAAGUCAACUGUGGCGGACGGGUGAGUAACGCGUAAAGAACUUGCCUCACAGAUAGGGACAACAUUUGGAAACGAAUGCUAAUACCUGAUACUGUGAGAGAGCUUUGCGUCCCAUUAGCUAGUUGGAGAGGUAACGGCUCACCAAGGCGAUGAUGGGUAGCCGGCCUGAGAGGGUGAUCGGCCACAAGGGGACAGGGACACCACCAUUACUCAAUCGGGGGGCAGCAGUGGGGAAUAUUGGAAGAUAGGCCAAAGUCUGAUCAAGCAAUUCUGUGUGCACGAUGAAGUUUUCGGAAUGAAAAGUGCUUUCAGUAGGGAAGCAGUACCAACAGAAGAAGUGACGGCUAAAUACGUGCCAGCCGCCGCGGUAAUAC
rnacentral:rRNA from 1 species